rnacentral:rRNA from 1 species
UGACGAGCGGCGGACGGGUGAGUAAUGUCUGGGAAACUGCCUGAUGGAGGGGGAUAACUACUGGAAACGGUAGCUAAUACCGCAUAACGUCGCAAGACCAAAGUGGGGGACCUUCGGGCCUCAUGCCAUCAGAUGUGCCCAGAUGGGAUUAGCUAGUAGGUGGGGUAACGGCUCACCUAGGCGACGAUCCCUAGCUGGUCUGAGAGGAUGACCAGCCACACUGGAACUGAGACACGGUCCAGACUCCUACGGGAGGCAGCAGUGGGGAAUAUUGCACAAUGGGCGCAAGCCUGAUGCAGCCAUGCCGCGUGUGUGAAGAAGGCCUUCGGGUUGUAAAGCACUUUCAGCGGGGAGGAAGGCGAUAAGGUUAAUAACCUUGUCGAUUGACGUUACCCGCAGAAGAAGCACCGGCUAACUCCGUGCCAGCAGCCGCGGUAAUACGGAGGGUGCAAGCGUUAAUCGGAAUUACUGGGCGUAAAGCGCACGCAGGCGGUCUGUCAAGUCGGAUGUGAAAUCCCCGGGCUCAACCUGGGAACUGCAUUCGAAACUGGCAGGCUAGAGUCUUGUAGAGGGGGGUAGAAUUCCAGGUGUAGCGGUGAAAUGCGUAGAGAUCUGGAGGAAUACCGGUGGCGAAGGCGGCCCCCUGGACAAAGACUGACGCUCAGGUGCGAAAGCGUGGGGAGCAAACAGGAUUAGAUACCCUGGUAGUCCACGCCGUAAACGAUGUCGAUUUGGAGGUUGUGCCCUUGAGGCGUGGCUUCCGGAGCUAACGCGUUAAAUCGACCGCCUGGGGAGUACGGCCGCAAGGUUAAAACUCAAAUGAAUUGACGGGGGCCCGCACAAGCGGUGGAGCAUGUGGUUUAAUUCGAUGCAACGCGAAGAACCUUACCUGGUCUUGACAUCCACAGAACUUUCCAGAGAUGGAUUGGUGCCUUCGGGAACUGUGAGACAGGUGCUGCAUGGCUGUCGUCAGCUCGUGUUGUGAAAUGUUGGGUUAAGUCCCGCAACGAGCGCAACCCUUAUCCUUUGUUGCCAGCGGUCCGGCCGGGAACUCAAAGGAGACUGCCAGUGAUAAACUGGAGGAAGGUGGGGAUGACGUCAAGUCAUCAUGGCCCUUACGACCAGGGCUACACACGUGCUACAAUGGCAUAUACAAAGAGAAGCGACCUCGCGAGAGCAAGCGGACCUCAUAAAGUAUGUCGUAGUCCGGAUUGGAGUCUGCAACUCGACUCCAUGAAGUCGGAAUCGCUAGUAAUCGUAGAUCAGAAUGCUACGGUGAAUACGUUCCCGGGCCUUGUACACACCGCCCGUCACACCAU